rnacentral:RNase_P_RNA from 1 species
UGUUCCAUACAACAUGAUCGCUCCUGAUUCAAUCAGGAGAGGAAAGUCCGAACUCCUCAUGAAUCCCUGUGAUUCAUAGACCAGGGUAGUGGGUAACACCCACCCUGUGCAUUGUGAAGUGUGCAGCGGGACAGUGCCACAGAGACUAUACUACUCCGAUAUUCAUCGGAGGAAACGUGAAAAGUGAACGGAUGUUUUUGCUCUCGAGUCAAAAGCUACUGUUCUCGUUCCUUGGUGACAAGGAAACGUGGUAAACCCUACUCGGAGAAAGUGCAGUGUUUCCCGAUUCCAUCGGGAUUCAAAAAGUUAGCACGUGAAGAUUUCAAUAGUAAUAUUGAAACAAGAGAAAUGAUCAUGCCCCGAUUCGCUUUGCUCAUUCGGCGCAAGUACACACGUCAUCAUGUAUGUGAACUUGUCCUGAGUGAGCAAAGCAAGUCGAAGGACAAAAUUCGGCUUAUUGUGUGGAACAAAAA